rnacentral:rRNA from 1 species
AGUGAACGCUGGCGGUAGGCCUAACACAUGCAAGUCGAACGGCAGCACAGUAAGAGCUUGCUCUUACGGGUGGCGAGUGGCGGACGGGUGAGGAAUACAUCGGAAUCUACUUUUUCGUGGGGGAUAACGUAGGGAAACUUACGCUAAUACCGCAUACGACCUACGGGUGAAAGCAGGGGAUCUUCGGACCUUGCGCGUUUGAAUGAGCCGAUGUCGGAUUAGCUAGUUGGCGGGGUAAAGGCCCACCAAGGCGACGAUCCGUAGCUGGUCUGAGAGGAUGAUCAGCCACACUGGAACUGAGACACGGUCCAGAGUCCUACGGGAGGCAGCAGUGGGGAAUAUUGGACAAUGGGCGCAAGCCUGAUCCAGCCAUACCGCGUGGGUGAAGAAGGCCUUCGGGUUGUAAAGCCCUUUUGUUGGGAAAGAAAAGCAGCAGGUUAAUACCCCGCUGUUCUGACGGUACCCAAAGAAUAAGCACCGGCUAACUUCGUG